ACUCCUCAAAACUGGUAUGAAAUCCUGGUAUAUGACAACUGGUCAAGCUCUUUGAAUCCACAUUAUCAGGUACUGUAUGUAGCAGCUAUAAUUCAAGACUCUGAAUUUUCUGUAACCACUCAGCCACACUGGUUGCCAGGAGUGUCUGGUUGUUCAUGCUGCUAAAGACAAUGAACACCUUCCCAACACAGCUGUGGUGUAUCUAGGAGAAGGAUUGGCUGUUUCUGCUGCAAGAUUGAUGGAGGCUUCAGAAAAGUGCGUGUGGAUUUUUAAACUAGAUUUUACUGAGUGACCUGACUCCCAUGGAAAGAAGCAAUUCCACAUAUCCAAAGCUUUCUGGCUCUUCAGGAUUCACAGCUUGACAAGACAGUCUGUCCUGCUGAAGACUCCGGGGCUUUUUGGAAAAAGCACAGCACAGUGCAGCUCAUCAGCUGGAGUUCCCCUGACACUCAAAUGUGGACUGCUGUUGAGAGAUGCUGACAGUGUUAUGGACAGGCAAGAUCUUAGUCUACCACUGUGCCCUGUCCCCAGAAAGGGAAUAUUCUGCCACCCACCUCUUGACCUCCUGCAGCUCUAACUUGCAAGUGAUGGCUGUCAAACCAGGGACUUGACUCCCAAACCAGGGACUUCUGAGGAGCUACUUCGGGCCUGUUCAGCUCCAGCUUUGCCUCCAAACAGUUGCUCAAUAUGAAGCAACACCUUUCUUCAGGCCAGCUUCACGAUGAGAGUCUGCACUGAUUUUGCUGAGCAGCCCACUGAUCCCUUCCUCAUUAGUGAAAUCCUGCCCAAACCACCAAGUGUUCUCAGGAUUUCUCACAUAUUUUGUUCAGAGGAUGGUAAGACUUGACUUCAGAAAGUGUUU
rnacentral:lncRNA from 1 species